UAGGCGGUCUGUCGCGUCUGCUGUGAAAACCUGGGGCUUAACCCCGGGCCUGCAGUGGGUACGGGCAGACUAGAGUGCGGUAGGGGAGACUGGAAUUCCUGGUGUAGCGGUGAAAUGCGCAGAUAUCAGGAGGAACACCGGUGGCGAAGGCGGGUCUCUGGGCCGUAACUGACGCUGAGGAGCGAAAGCAUGGGUAGCGAACAGGAUUAGAUACCCUGGUAGUCCAUGCCGUAAACGUUGAGCGCUAGGUGUGGGGCUCAUUCCACGAGUUCCGUGCCGCAGCAAACGCAUUAAGCGCCCCGCCUGGGGAGUACGGCCGCAAGGCUAAAACUCAAAGGAAUUGACGGGGCCCCGCACAAGCGGCGGAGCAUGCGGAUUAAUUCGAUGCAACGCGAAGAACCUUACCAAGGCUUGACAUGCAGGGAAAUCUCCCAGAGAUGGGAGGUCCGCAAGGGUCCUGCACAGGUGGUGCAUGGUUGUCGUCAGCUCGUGUCGUGAGAUGUUGGGUUAAGUCCCGCAACGAGCACAACCCUCGUUCUAUGUUGCCAGCGGGUAAUGCCGGGGACUCAUAGGAGACUGCCGGGGUCAACUCGGAGGAAGGUGGGGAUGACGUCAAAUCAUCAUGCCCCUUAUGUCUUGGGCUU
rnacentral:rRNA from 1 species